rfam:Sphaerobolus stellatus SS14 unplaced genomic scaffold SPHSTscaffold_133, whole genome shotgun sequence.
UCCGAUAUGGUGUAGUGGCUAACAUUAUCGCCUCUCAAGUGGAACGCGAUAGCCCGGGGUUCAAUUCCCCGUGUCGGAA